GCCGAUGCUUUAGAGAUAAAGACGGAGGGUAUUCGGGGAGGACAGGUGGUGCAUGGUUGUCGUCAGCUCGUGUCGUGAGAUGUUGGGUUAAGUCCCGCAACGAGCGCAACCCCUAUUGCUAGUUACCAUCAUUAAGUUGGGGACUCUAGCGAGACUGCCAGUGAUAAACUGGAGGAAGGUGGGGGAUGACGUCAAAUCAUCAUGCCCCUUAUGACCUGGGCUACAAACGUGAUACAAUGGCUGGAACAAAGGGAUGCGAAGCAGUGAUGUGGAGCGAAACCCAUAAAAACAGUCUCAGUUCGGAUUGAAGUCUACAACUCGACUUCAUGAAGUCGGAAUCGCUAGUAAUCGCGGAUCAGAACGCCGCGGUGAAUACGUUCUCGGGGUUU
rnacentral:rRNA from 1 species